AACGAACGCUGGCGGCGCGCCUAAUACAUGCAAGUCGAGCGAGAAGACGUAGCAAUACGUUUGUAAAGCGGCGAACGGGUGAGGAAUACAUGGGUAACCUACCCUCGAGUGGGGAAUAACUAGCCGAAAGGUUAGCUAAUACCGCGUACGCUCCUUGGACUUCGGUUCAGGGAGGAAAGCGAUACCGUGGGUAUCGCGCUCUUGGAUGGGCUCAUGUCCUAUCAGCUUGUUGGUGAGGUAACGGCUCACCAAGGCUUCGACGGGUAGCUGGUCUGAGAGGACGAUCAGCCACACUGGCACUGCGACACGGGCCAGACUCCUACGGGAGGCAGCAGUAAGGAAUAUUGCGCAAUGGGCGAAAGCCUGACGCAGCGACGCCGCGUGGGGGAUGAAGGUCUUCGGAUUGUAAACCCCUUUCGGGAGGGAAGAUGGAACGAGCAAUCGUUCGGACGGUACCUCCAGAAGCAGCCACGGCUAACUUCGUGCCAGCAGCCGCCGU
rnacentral:rRNA from 1 species